rnacentral:lncRNA from 1 species
CUUUGUGUGUCUUAUGUUGUGUGUUUUUGUUUGUUUGUUUUCUUUUUUUUUCCAGCUCAUGCAGGAUUGAUGCUACAGCCCCUCUUGAAGUAGUAGGGAUGAGUAGGAUUGGGUUGUGCCCUUCAACUGAGCCCUGUUGCUCAGGUAGCAAACAAUGCAAGGGGCAAUUAAAAUGAAAACAAUUGUAAGAUUUUGUUUAUUUCACAGAAUGUCAGGGACUGGAAGGGACCUUGAAAGAUCAUCUUGUCCAAUCCCCAUGCUGGAGCAAGAACAUCUAGAAAUGUACCCAGAUACUGAAAGGUCACUAUCAGGCCACCUCUGAGCCUUCUCUUCUCCAGCCUCAACAGCCCCAGCUCCUUCAGCCUAUCCUCAUAGGAGAGGUGCUCCAUCCCUUGGAUUGUUCCUGGGCCCCCCCCUCUGGAUGAACUUCAACAGGUGCAUGUCUCUCCC